rnacentral:rRNA from 2 species
UGCAGUCGACGAGCUUCCGUUGAUGACGUGCUUGCACUGAUUUCAACAAUGAAGCGAGUGGCGAACUGGUGAGUAACACGUGGGGAAUCUGCCCAGAAGCAGGGGAUAACACUUGGAAACAGGUGCUAAUACCGUAUAACAACAAAAUCCGCAUGGAUUUUGUUUGAAAGGUGGCUUCGGCUAUCACUUCUGGAUGAUCCCGCGGCGUAUUAGUUAGUUGGUGAGGUAAAGGCCCACCAAGACGAUGAUACGUAGCCGACCUGAGAGGGUAAUCGGCCACAUUGGGACUGAGACACGGCCCAAACUCCUACGGGAGGCAGCAGUAGGGAAUCUUCCACAAUGGACGAAAGUCUGAUGGAGCAAUGCCGCGUGAGUGAAGAAGGGUUUCGGCUCGUAAAACUCUGUUGUUAAAGAAGAACACCUUUGAGAGUAACUGUUCAAGGGUUGACGGUAUUUAACCAGAAAGCCACGGCUAACUACGUGCCAGCAGCCGCGGUAAUACGUAGGUGGCAAGCGUUGUCCGGAUUUAUUGGGCGUAAAGCGAGCGCAGGCGGUUUUUUAAGUCUGAUGUGAAAGCCUUCGGCUUAACCGGAGAAGUGCAUCGGAAACUGAGAGACUUGAGUGCAGAAGAGGACAGUGGAACUCCAUGUGUAGCGGUGGAAUGCGUAGAUAUAUGGAAGAACACCAGUGGCGAAAGGCGGCUGUCUAGUCUGUAACUGACGCUGAGGCUCGAAAGCAUGGGUAGCGAACAGGAUUAGAUACCCUGGUAGUCCAUGCCGUAACGAUGAGUGCUAAGUGUUGGAGGGUUUCCGCCCUUCAGUGCUGCAGCUACGCAUUAAGCACUCCGCCUGGUGAGUACGACCGCAGGUGAAACUCAAAGGGAAU